GGCUUCUUUAUUGUUUUGCAAUCUUUACCAGUUCAGUCAUUGCAUAUAAUUUCUUCCAAAGUUUGCUUGCGUUGCCAAAUCAGUGCAUUCUUGCUUGUGAUAAGAUUGUGCGUCAGUGCGUGUGUGAUGUUUGGAUGUUUGGUUAUUGAAGAGAUGGAAUUGAUGAAUAUUUCCCCAAAUGAUCGAAGCUGAACAAACUGAGCGAUCUUUCUCUCUAUUGAGAACCAAGCCAGAAUUCUGAUCCAUCCU
rnacentral:misc_RNA from 1 species